rnacentral:misc_RNA from 1 species
CAAGUCAAACGUCAGUCAGUAAUUCAUUUUCUGGAAGCCAAGAUGGGGAUUGAGAAAUGUAGAGUUGUAGUCGGAUGUUUUUAUAUAGUGAAUUAUUGGCUAUAAAAAUGUUUUUGUGUCUAAAAUUGUGACAAUAACGUUUGUGGAUAAUUUUAAUGGCAUUUUUUCAAGACUCUUGAAGUUUUAAGUUAAGACAUGGACGGGCAGCGCGCGUUGGAAAUGAUGCCCCUUCUUCAGGAGCGGCUGGUGAUACUUACCGGUGGACGGGAUCGUCGAGGAGGGCCGGUUUUGUCGUUUCCUGCCAAUCCUCGACGAGAACGGGCCAAACCUGAAGAUUACAGAAAGGUUUUGCAGUAUUUGAUGUCCAUACCAAGUGAUGAAGCGCGAGGAUUGGGUUUCACGGUUCUAGUGGAUAUGAGAGGAUCAACGUGGUCGACUGUCAAACCUAUCCUGAAGGCACUGCACGAGCACUUUCCACCUGGCACAAUCCAUCAAGCACUCAUCGUCAAGCCCGAUAAUUUCUGGCAGAAGCAGAGGACAUCGCUUGGUUCACAUAAGUACAAAUUUGAGACAAAUAUGAUAAGUAUAGAAGCUUUGCCAAAAAUAAUAGAUAGUAGUCAACUGACAUCUGACUUAGAAGGUACUUUGUCUUAUGAUCAUGCUCACUGGCUGGAAGUUAGAUUAGCCAUUGAAGAGUUCGCGUGGCAAGCCGCUGACCUUCUGGAUAGACUAGACGAUUUGCAGGAGGACUUAGCUAGGAACGACUUCGCUGAAGACGUUAGUGGCGCUAAACACAAAAUCGACCUACAUAAUGAAAUGAAAAAGAAAAUUAUGAAGGCACCAGUUGAUGAUAUCGAUUUAUUAGGUCAGCGCCUACUACAAAAAUCUUGCGGGCUCGACACCGGCCAAGGCGGAGGUGGUGGAGGAGGCGGUGGGGGAGGCGGCGGCGGGCGUGAACCAGAAUCUCCUAGCAAUACGAACUCAGAACUCUUAGGUACCAAAAACUUAGUUUUACAAAAUUUAGAGGCGGUUCACUCGUCACAACAACAUCUACUUCAACUGUGGCACCAUAAAAAGCUCAAGUUGGACCAGUGCUUUCAGUUGAGGUUGUUCGAACAGGAUUGUGAAAAAAUGUUCGAGUGGAUUUGCCAUAACAAAGACGUCUUCCUUCUUAACUAUGUAGAAAUAGGCCAUACUUACCAAUUAGCCAAGCAGCUUCAAGAAGAGCACCAGCAUUUCACGAUGAGCUCCAUGAACGUUUACGUGAACAUCAAUCGUAUACUUUCGGUCGCGUCGCGUCUCAUCGAAGGCGGCCAUUAUGCCGCCUCGCAUAUUCGCUCGGUCGCCGGACGGUUGGAUCGUACGUGGAAGGAUUUCGCCGCUGGGCUAGAUGAAAGAACUGCAGUGUUGGCAUUGUCUGUGAUUUUCCACCACAAGGCGGAACAAUACGUGGAGAACGUGCCUUCAUGGAAAUCUGCAUCGGAAACUGGAAAUAUUCCUUCAGAAAUAAUGAUGCUAGAAAACUCUAUACACCAACAUCAAAAUCUAUACGAAUCUAUGUGUCAGGCGUACACAGAGGUAUAUAAUUCCUACCAAUCGCUACUGAACGGUCUGGACCUCAUGCUACAAGUUUGCCAUAACUUACCCACCAGCAUUGAGGAAUCGGAAAAGGAUUCAAGUUCAACAAACGGCGAAGGAACAAAAUUCGAAAACCGACCGGGCGGUAAUCCUGCCGCCGACUACAGUGAAGGAGCUAGUCAUGUUUUAGCAGUCAUACACCAAAUAUUGAACCACCAUCGAGCAUUAGAACAAAAAUGGCAUGCAAAGAAAAUCAAACUACAUCAAAGACUGGCGUUGAGGUUGUUUCAGGAAGAUGUGAAACAGGUGUUGGAUUGGUUAGCAAAUCACGGUGAAGUAUUCAUCAGAAAGAAUACAGGCAUCGGGCGAAAUCUUCAGAAAGCCAGAGUCUACCAAAAGAGUCACGAACAUUUCGAGAACGUCGCACAGAAUACUUACACCAACGCAGACAAGCUUCUGGCCGCUGCUGAGGAACUCGCUCAUACGGGCGAAUGCGAUCCCGACGAGAUUUAUUCAGUAGCUCACGAACUGGAGGCUCACGUGACUUCUUUCGCUGCUAGAGUCGAACAAAGGAGACGAAGGCUAGAUUUAGCGGUACUGUUUUACACGCACGAGAAAGAUCUUAGCAAUUGGGUGGAUGAUCUCAGACAGGAGUUGCAAAAUGACGAGAGCGUGGCUGAAAGCCUAGAAGCAACAGAGCGGCUCUUGGAACAAACUGCCCAGCAUCGCGAACAAAGCCUUGACGCUUGUGCAUCGACAAUUGCACAAGGGGAGGCACUACUUCAAGAACUGCGGUCCAUCACGGAAAUGGACACAACUGGUUCAGUAGCUGCAAUAGAAUCUGCUCUGGACCGAUUAGCGAAACAAAGAAACGAUCUCGAAGAAUUGUGGGCUGCUCGAAAACUCCGUCUAGAUCUGUGCCUGAGACUGCGGUUGUUCGAAAGGGACGCCUUGGAAGUAUCCUCCCAGCUGGAGAUGUGGUCUGAGGAAUUACAACAUAGCGAAUUAACCAGAGAUAUUCCGAAGGCUGAGCAGUUUUUAAGAUUGCACAACGAGAGUGUUAGUCAGAUGCAAAAUACGACUUAUCAAGUACUACAACAAGGACAAGAUCUGGUACAGGUCUUUGAGAAUUCAGGGAUUUGUGUGAUGGCGGAUGCUCAGUAUAAUGCUCAGACAAGGGUUCAAGUUUUACUCGAAUUUCUUCACGAUAGAGAAAUGGAUCUGGAAGAACUAGCUGAAAUGAAGCGCCUUAAACUGGAACAAUGCAUCCAACUCGGCCAGUUCCAAAACGACGCUAACCAAGUCAUUAGUUGGAUAAGAAACGGAGAAUCAAUGUUAAUGGCCAGUUUUACCAUACCCAAUAGUUUAUCGGACGCAGAACUCUUGAAAAAGGAACACGAACAAUUUCAAGUCGCCAUCGAAAAAACACACACGUCAGCUGUCCAAGUGAAACAUCGUGCAGAUACGCUGAUAAACGCGAACCAUUACGACCCCCAAAGUAUCAAAGACAUUUCCGAAGAAGUUACCAAAAGAUGGCAACAACUGGUUACUUGCGCAGAAGAGAGGCAUAAGUUGGUGACGGCUAGUUUGAAUUUUUACAAGACCGCCGAGCAAGUCUGUUCUGUGCUUGACAGUUUGGAGAGAGAAUAUAGGAGAGACGAAGAUUGGUGCGCCACGGGCCAAGGAAACGUUGACAAAGCCACCGCUAUAUCACAACUGAUCAACAAACACCAGGAACAGAAAGAAGCCUUUCUGAAGGCUUGUACUUUAGCCCGAAGGACUGCCGAAACAUUUUUAAAAUACACCACUCGAAGUCUACAGUUUUAUAAUUACUCGAAUACUAGCGGAAACCACGAAGCUAGAGUUAAGGGAAUAUUGGAGAAGUUACUGAAUCAGGAGAAUAAGGUGCUAGAGCAUUGGACUCAAAGGAAAAAGAAGUUGGAUCAGUGUCAACAGUUUGUUCUGUUCGAAAGGUCUGCCAAACAAGCUAUCGAAUGGAUCCAUGAGACAGGUGAAUGUUAUCUAACGACGCAUGCAACGAAUCUAGGCAACAAUAUCGAAGAAACUGAAAGUUUACUACGUGAACACAACGAAUUUAAAGGAACUGCCAAAGAAACCCGAGAAAGAGUGAAACUGCUCAUUCAGCUUGCCGAUAGUCUCGUUGAAAAAGGACAUGCGCACGCUUGCUCCAUCAAACAAUGGGUUGAAGCUGUCGAUAAUAGAUACAAAAACUUUAGUUCUCGAAUGGAAAAUUAUCGACAACAGUUAGAAGAAACGCUGGGCAUUCAAGAAGAAGAAAGCGAGAAAAAGGAGUUGUCUAUCGAUAGAAAUUCGGAUCCUAAUUUGGAAGCCAAAGUCAAAGAAGCCGCUGCCAAAGAAUUAAAAGAAUUGAACGAGGAAAAGAGAAGAUCUGCAAGGAGGAAAGAAUUUAUAAUGGCCGAACUCCUACAAACAGAACGUACUUACGUCAAAGACUUAGAAACAUGCAUAACCUGUUUCCUGCACGAAAUGAGAAACUCACCAGCAGCAACCUCAUCUUUUCUAUCCAAAGAAAGCAUUAUUUUCGGUAAUAUGGAGGAGAUCUACGAAUUUCACAAUUCUAUAUUCUUGAAAGAACUCGAAAAGUAUGAAACGAUGCCUGAAGAUGUUGGCCAUUGUUUUGUAACGUGGGCUCAGAAAUUCGAUAUGUACGUCACUUAUUGUAAAAAUAAACCUGAAAGUAACAGUUUCUUAGUUCAAUAUGGCGGAGGAUUCUUCGAAGAGUUGCAGAAAAAGCACAAAUUAGAACAUCCUAUAGCCGCUUUCCUGAUAAAACCUGUUCAGAGAAUAACUAAGUACCAGUUACUAUUGAAAGAUCUGCAAAGUUGCUGUGAAGAAGGUCAAGGUGAAAUUAAAGAUGGUCUAGAAGUAAUGCUCAACGUUCCGAAGAAGGCGAAUGACGCGAUGCACUUGUCUCUCCUCGAAGGCUGUGAUAUAUCCGCUGAUAAGUUAGGCGAAGUCGUUCUCCAAGACGCCUUCAGUGUCUGGGAUCCCAAACAACUCAUUCGAAAAGGAAGAGAUCGACAUAUUUUUCUUUUCGAAAUGUAUCUCUUAUUUACCAAAGAAGUUAAGGACUCGGCUGGAAAAGUCAAGUACAUCUACAAAAAUAAGCUAAUGACCUCAGAACUGGGCGUAACCGAACACAUGGAAGGUGACGAAUGUAAAUUUGCCGUAUGGACCGGCCGUGCUCCAAUUUCCGACUAUCGCAUUGUACUUAGAGCUUCUUCGCUCGAGACCAAACAAUUGUGGGUGAAGAAGUUGAGAGAAGUAAUACAAGAGACUUACUUUAGCGGAGCCUUACCAUUGUCACUGCCAAAGAGUCCUGCUAAGCUGAAACCACAUAGCCAAAGAUCCAGUCGGGAUAUGGAGGAGUGCAACUCUCUAGACGAAAGCGUCGAGAAUUUAGAUCGUAAUUCCUUGACAUCUUUUGGCUCGGGGAACACCACAGACUCCGACAAGGCUGGCGUUUUAGAAAUGACUUGGGUGAUGAGCGACUUCACCGCUACCAAUCCUCUCGAGCUCAGCGUAACCAAAGGGCAGCAAGUUGAGGUAGUCGAGGUGUGCGCUUCAAAGCCGGACUUUUGCUUGGUUCGUAUGCCGACCAGAGGUACCACCGACCACGAAUCGGGCGUGGUGCCAGAAGGUUUGGUACCGCUUGCAGUUUUGAAACAACCGCCGCCGCACAGGGGUUCCCCGUCCAGACGAAUCAAUCCUCCCACGGAACAGGAAAUUGAUACUAGUCUUCAGAAUGACGCCUCCGCCGCAGUGAAUACGUCAUCUCCGGUAAAUAAAAGAAGAGGAUUCAGCGGACGGAAAUGGCUGCCACCUCCACUUCGAAAAUUGUCACAGGGUAAAGUGGACAAAGCGCAAGCCAACACACCACCACCCCUCAAAAAGACUGGUUCCGAUAAGAGAAUAAAGGUGCCAUCCGAAAUGGGCAACAAGCCCUCGGUCUCCGAAGGCGAAGAGGAAGAAGAGCGACCUACGCAGGCGCUCAAAGGCGCCAAAUCUCUCGGGUCUGAAUUAGCGAAUGGCAGCGGAGCAGCUGAAGAUGCCGACGAAGAGUUGGAGCUGCCACCGCCGAUGAAACCGAUCCAGGAGCCGAUCUUGGUGACGUCGCCGCCCCCUGGGGUUCCAGGUGUGCCGGAGAUCGAAGAGAACCCUUGCAAAAGAGUCUCUAGCUUAACAUUAAAAUCACUCGAAGGUGCUACAUCUGCGGAUUUGGCCGAAAUUGAACAGAUAGUAAAGGAAAGAAUGGAACAACAUUCAGAAAACCAAGAACGUCAUUCUCUUAUGCGAGAUGCCAAGUCAGAAAAUGCCAUUUCGGAGUACGGAGGGGAUCUAUCAGCUCAAGGUUUCUCCAACGAAGCCACAGGGUUGGCUUUCAGUGGCGAUGAAAGCGACAAGCCGUCCGAAGACAACAUGGACACCGCCAAGAAGACAGAAAUCUUAUUGAGGAAAAGGGAAUACGUUCUGCAGGAGUUAAUAGAUACUGAAGAAGCGUACGUUAGAGACUUGUCUUUAAUCGUUGAUGGUUACAUAGCUACUAUAAAGGAUCCCGAAUGUGAAAUACCCAUGCCAGAGGAUUUGAAGGAUGGAAAGGACAAACUGGUGUUUGGAAAUAUCGAAGUCAUUUAUGAUUGGCAUAAAAACUUUUUCUUAAAAUCCCUAAAACAAGCCGUAGAAAAUCCCAUUGAACUAGCUUCGCUUUUCAAACGUUAUGAACGCAAAUUACAAAUGUACGUUAUCUAUUGUAAGAACAAACAUGUAUCCGAAUAUAUAGUUUCCGAAUACCUAGAGACCUAUUUCGAAGAUUUACGGGUAAAAUUAGGACAUAAGUUGCAACUUUGUGAUUUGUUAAUCAAGCCAGUGCAAAGAAUCAUGAAAUACCAAUUGAUGCUUAAGGAUAUUUUGAAAUAUACUGAAAGGGCGGGAAUAACGGCGGAGAUUGAACCACUUAGGGCAGCAUACAACAUAAUGGUGAUCGUACCGAAGACUGCUAAUGAUAUGAUGGAUGUUGGAAGACUACAGGGAUUUGAGGGUAAAAUUACUGCACAGGGAACUCUGCUUCUGCACGGAAUGUUAACAGUUUCCGAUCUACCUGGAUCGAAUCCAAUCAUAGGCAAAAACAAGGAUUUGCAUGUAUUUUUCUUCGAACAAAGUAUUAUUUUUUCUGAAGUGGUAGGAAAGAAGACGCAGUUCACUAGUCCGCAAUAUAUUUACAAAGCUCAUAUUCAAGUCAACAAAAUGUCCUUAAACACAAAAGAAGACUGUUUUAUAUUAGAAUCGACGGAUCCCAGCCGUUGUUUGGGUUUCGUCCUGCAAGCAGGAACGGUAGAUUUGCAAGAGCAAUGGUUGAUCACUAUCCACGACACCCUUCAAAAACAGAGGGACUUCCUCAAAGCCAUCCAAAGUCCCAUAGCCUACCAGAAAGAGUUAACCACUAAAGAAGCUUCCUUAUCCGACCUAUCAAUGUGGGAAGUGGCGCCCCUAAGAAGAGCCCUACCUCAUGGAUCGCCGUCAGAGCCCAGCAAGUCCCACAAAAAGAACCAUUAUGUUCAUAAGGCUAACACCAUUGGUAUCCCAUCGGAAGACGAUUUGAACGAUAGCAAAAACAAUAAUCCACGCUCGAGACUGAACUUUUUCGAAGGCUUUAAGAAUAGUUUGAGAAACAAGCAUAAGAGUGAUACAGUGGUGUUGGAGACUGCGAAGGAGAAUAGCGAGAAGGGUGAUAUGCACAGGAGGUGGUCGGAAGCUAAUCAUACGGUAUCGUAAUAAAGAGCUUCAAAUACUACCAACUAACCAUAAGAGAUGGCUGUGAUAUGUUAUGUUAAGAUAAAUCUAUAUAAACAAUAAAACUAUUUAUUGCCGUUAGUUUUAACCUGUAUUAACAAGUUGAAAUGGAAAUAAUUGGGAAUGCAAUGCCAGUCGACACAAGUUUAUAAUUAAAAAUGGCGGAUCAUCUAAUAAUGCCUCCCGGCACUCAAGCGCGUUUGGUCUGCGAAUGGCCGCACCUCAACCUGGGGGACUUAGUCACAAUCAUCCGCUACGACCCAACCCAAGGAUAUUUUGUCCGAACCAGCUCUAGCCUGGAAGAGUUUUGGAUUCCUGCUCACGUUCUAGCCAAUUA